GUCGGAAUAUGUCUGACAUCAGAAUUUUUCAAAAGCUCCAAAUUCUAAUUGCAACCAGGAUUAAGAACCAUAAUGUGGACAGGAUUGACGGAAGGUCACGGAGACAGUGGCAGAGCUGGCCUGGAACCCAGGCCAACCCAACAGCUGUAUUCUUUCCGGCACAGCAUCCUUGAGGCUUCCUGUCCUUGCCGUGGGUGGCUUGGUGUCAGUUGCGAUUGUCCAAGUGCCAGGACAGAAGCUUCUGCUUUGAGAAGAUGUUCAUGAUUUGUGGGCAUGAGAGUUGAGGUCCUCUUGCUUCCGGAAGGGACAGUUAAAUUCAAGACUCAUUCAUUAAAGCCUCCCUCUUGAUACCUUUGGGAUCUGUCCACUUUUUCUACCUCCCCUGUGACCUCCCAGUACAAGCCGUGGUCAUCUCUUGCCUGGACAACUAUGAAGGCCUCUUAGUUGGUCUCUGCUUCCACUCCUGUGACCCUCUCCAUCUAAUAACCCAACUGAGGCCAAAGUUGCCUAAAAGAAUGGAUCCUGUGGAUAAACACGGUGCGGUACAUCCAGACAAUGGAAUAUUACUCAGCGAUAAAAACAAAUGAGUUAUCAAGUCACAAAUAGACAUAGAGGAAACACGAGUGUCUCAAGGACUUUUCUCUCUGUGCCCCCUGACCCCACACCUGAACUGUGUGAGUCCCAAGGGCUCUGAAGCUAAGCUCCCCUGCCCGGCCCAUUUGCCGAGGGAGCUGCCAUCAGUUACACUGCUGGUCUAGGUUGGUUCCAUUCUCCAGCAGCUUCAACAAGCUCUGGGCCUGCCCCCUGCCGGCUUCCAUGCUCCCAGCGGCCCCUGGAGAGAGGGCCUCCUUGUCAACAGCUGAAAGCAGCUCUAAUUCGGGCUAUUAAUGUAGUUUGGCGUUAGCAAGUCAGUUCUACCCUGCCUUGUUUGGGGCAUCUCCGUAAUGGAAGAUAUAAAAGAAAUAUUCCACAUCAGGACAAGAAGCCCAAAAGACUUGCUGCCAUCCGUUGCAGCCAGGCUAAGGCACAGCCCUCUUAUUCCUGAAGUCACUCUGGGUGACGUAGCAAAGAAUCCUUUGACGGAGACAACAUCUGCACAGUCGUCUUCUGUCUCCACCAUCAGCUCUUCUCCAAGGCCACAUGGCUGAGACCAGGAAGGGGCAUUAGCCGGCCACCCGCUCAUCCAGCGUUGGAGUCCUCUCCACCACAGCCACACUACGUGGUCAUCCAGCC
rnacentral:lncRNA from 1 species